rnacentral:misc_RNA from 1 species
CAAAAUCCACCAACCCUUUAGUAUCCUUCACCAAAAUGCUCACAGAGUAAAACAGAAGUGAUUGAGAAACACAGUUAAUAUCAAAGGUAGCCACUACUUCCACUAAAUCGAACCUACUAUAGUAGUACUCUACACUGUGAUAUUCAAGAAAUCCAGAUUACUAAAAAUAACGUUGGACAAGCUUUUCCUUGCUAAAGAACUUAGCUCCAACUAUGUCAACCCAAAAGGUUCCUUGAGAAACGAAAAUGGUCCACUACAAUCUGAUCUGUGUUGCCUUCUGGGCCAAUACAGAACCAUUACCUCCCUUUCCUUAUAACCAAAAGCAAACACCCAAAUCAUCCCCUAGUUGAUGAUCGAAAAACACAAAGCAGCC